rnacentral:lncRNA from 1 species
CUGUCUAUGGGAGGGAGCGCCGCGUUGCCAUGGCAGCGAGCAGGUCCGGGCGCCGCUCUGCCCCAGGGAGGAGAGGGGAAGGGGCAGAGGGCGUCUUCCUUCCUUGGUAUUUACGGGUGGGGGUCGGGGUAGGGCACAGGACCUAGCAUUUUGCUAAAUCUUUGGAGGAUACAGGAUGUAUUCAUGUUGGCCCCUGCCUUCACGAGACUUACAGUUAGGCCGGGCGCCCUCGGAAAAUGCAUCUGCUUAUGUCCUGUGUCCUGAGGACUUAGGGGUGAGCCAAAGUUGACAUAGCCCCGACCCACCGGGAGCAGACUUCUUGGGAGGAAUGUGAUUGACACAGCAUUUACAAGGGAGAUGGAUUUCUCAAAGGAAAGCUGUUGUGCAUGCAUUUGUCGGGGAUCUGAUCUGUUCGUGGUCUCAGGAUACCUUCUUUGAGGUGAACAGUGCUUUCUUUGAAAGGAGCUGUGACUUCAAUUAGAUUUUGAAAAAUAAAUGAUCUUGUAGCUGUGGACUUUUAAGUUAGCCUGUUUACAUUGUGUUACUGCAAACGUAUAGAAGCUUGGAGUUGGGUCUAGAAUUCAUCCAGUCUUUUCACACAGAUGAGGAGACAGAAGAAGGGGGAGGAUGAGAAGACUACAGAUAUACUGAGAAGAGUAAGAUCACAGUGGAGUGAGGCUGGAAGGAGCCCAAAGGGAGGCUGCAUAGGGACUGAGGGCAGGCAGCCCCACAUCCCAGGCAGCUGGCCUCCCCCGGAUUGAAGAUUCUGACAGGAGCCCUCUCCAUGCACCUCCAGUCCCUCUCUGAGCACGUCUCAGGUGGGUACAAAUAAAUCCUUUGUCUCAGAGUCCCAGAAGAGGGCUUUUUCUUCCCUAGAUAACAAAUCCGUCAUUUGUAAGACUGUAAUAAGGUUAAGAACUUGUUGAGUCUAGACAAGCAAUAAUUCUUGCUGUCAUAAACCACAUUCCAUCUCUGACUGCUGUGUUUGUUAAAACCAUUUUAUUUUUAUUUUGGAAUAGUUUCAGAUUUAUAAAAAUGUUGAAAGCACAGAGUCGCCAUAUACUCCUUACCCAAUUUCCCCUGUUAUUAACAUCUGCCAUUAGUAUGGUACAUUUCUCACAACUAAUGACACGAUGUUGAUAUAUUAUUAUUAAAGCCCAUAUGUUAUUCAGAUUUAAUUAGUUUUUAACUAAUGUCUUAUUUCUGACCUAUAAUCUCAUCUAGGAUUCCAUAUUACUUUUAUUCAUCAUAGUUCCUUAGGUUCUUCUUGGCUGUGACAAUUUUCAGACUUUUCUUGCUUUUGAUGACUUUGACAGUUUUGACAAGUACUGUCUCUGACAGCUUUUCAAAGGCAUACAACAUACACGCUGAUGGAGGGCUUGAUUGCCAUUUGGCUGUUUGCUUCUCUAAAUGCUUCUUAUCAUUCACCUGACCUCUAAUAUUGAGGUAGAUUGCUCGUUGGCUUUGAAUUUUCAUCCUUUGCUGUACCCAUUGUGGGUGGAGGUACUAACCUACUCUUGACUUUGGACUUGAUCAUGUUGAGUUGUGUUGGCUAAUGGCAUGGGGGCAGAAGAGAUAGUGGGCCAUGACUAAGCUUAGGCCUUAAGAGGACUCCUGUGAUUCCACUUGACCUCUUUUGCUUCUGUCAUUGCAGCGAGAGGAAUAUGCCUGGGCUAGGCCCCUGGUGGCUUGAGAAAAACAUACUUGGGCUAGCCCACUGGUGGCUUGAGAAGAAUAUACCUGGGUUAGCCCACUGGUGGCUUGAGAAGAACAUGCCUGGGCUAUACCACUAAUGGCUUGAAAAGAACAUGCCUGGGCCAUCCCACUGGUGGCUUGAGAAUAACAUGCCUGGGCUAGCCCACUGGUGGCUUGAGAAGAACAUGCCUGGGAUAGCCCAUUAGUAGUUAAGAAAGAUGAGAGGCACGUGGAGCAUUGUCGCUUUCUGCUGAGCCUCAUCUAGAACAGUUUACCCCAGCCCACGUCUAGAUGAAUGGACAAUAACCAAUGAUUGUUGUUUUUAUCCUCUGAGCUUUGGAGACACUUGUUACAUUUGUUACGUAGCAAUAGUUAAUUGAGAUAUGACCUACCAUUGAGUAGAUGGAAGGCUUUAUAAAAACUUUGAAAAAUAUUUGGUAUUAAAAAAGUAUUUCUUUGGGAACAUGUAAUCAAGGUGAUCACACGCCCCAUUGGGUUAUUUUAGUGUCUGUCAUGAGAGAACAUCUUUCUCAUUGAAAAUAUGAGCUGCCUCACCUCUAAGCCAAAAGGACAAUGUCUUUUGCUAUUUACAAACUGUGUAGUGAUUUGUGAAAAACCAAAAUUGAGCUGCUUAUAAAUGUGUUCAUUCACUUAUUCAUCUCUUCAACAGCUAUUUAUUUGGUACCUAAUAUGUGCUGGACCUUCUGCUUGGUGCUGAGCACACAGGCCCCCAGACUGUGAGGCUCUCAUGCAGUCAUGGUGAUGAUGUGCAAGUAUGGUUUGACAGAGCUGGGAAGCAAAUAUUAUCUUAAAUAAAUCUACUCUUCGGAAGCUUUUCAGGUACUUGUAGAAUUUAUGAGGUUUUGAUAUGUUGACCAGGGACUGAAGAUAGGUUUGGCUUUAAGAUUUGUUGGUAUUGUUCUAGCUAAUGUUGAACAAAUCUUACAGAGCUUUUGGGCAUAAAAUAUUUGUUUUUGACCCUGAUGUUGAGAAGGUAUUUUUAGUUUCAUUAUUUCAUUUCAGUGUUGAAUUGAUUUAUUACCUCUUCAAAUUAUUUUCAUUAUCAAAACCUUCCAGACACAUUGUCCCGCUUUGGUGCCUGUACCACGACUGUGAAUAUGAUUAGGAAGAAGGCAGAUUGGGUUUUGGAAAUUAAGAACUGGUUCUUCAUGGGAUUCUUUGUGAUAAAACUUGGAAGUAAUGAAACAGUCAUUGGUUUCUGUUACCCACAAUUAAGAAUGUAUGUAAAAGAGGUGCUAGGGAGAAGACUAUAUAGUACUUUUAUUUCCUAAUGGAGACAAAUUUUGGGAUACGGAGGAAAAUAUAAAAUGAGAAGGGCAAUACUAUUACAUGGAUUAAAACCCUGAAGAAAAAAUAGUAAUCAUUCAUUCAUUUGACAUGCUCAGUCAUUUCCUGAACAUCUCACUGUGCAAAGAUAUUACUGAAAUAAACAAGACACAACUUUUGCUUUUUAGCAUCUAAAUGAUGAUACUUGGCAGUCAGCUAAUCUUUUAGCAGGAAGAACUGGAAAGAGAAGCGAACAUCUUUAACACAGUCUACAUCAGAAUCUGUUUUCUUAGCUAUUGUCUGCAUAUUGAUGAACAAAGAUGAGCACAUGGAAAGUAGCACUUUAGCUCUUUCUAGUCCUUUUUUUUCUGUUUUCCUUUUAGCAUAAAAAUUAGUUGUUACAUGAGAGGCAAACAUCAUUGAAAUUUCUGGUCUGAAGUCAAAAAAAGCCAAAAAGUACCUUGGGUUUCUACCUUUUUCUUUUUUAUUUCUUGGGUUGCUAGCAGAGCUUGGAGGUUUCUUUGGUCAAAAAGCUACCUCAGUAGAUGAAGCCCUGAAAGCGAAUAGCAGCUCAGACCACCCUCCCUGGGCUUUGUGUUCCUUACCACAAGCCUGUAGACAGUGAGUGAGACAGGCUGGGAAGUGGUGCAGGGACAGGAAGGAGAAGGAAGCUGGGGGCUGGGGCUGCAACCGUAGUUAACGUUAGCAGUUCUAGGAGACAGUACAUUUCAGGGAAUGCUAAAACAACUUACUCUUAAAUUCUGUGUUUAUAAAGCAUAACUUGCCACAUCUAUGUAAGACAUAAAAGCCUGGACCUCCUUCUGGCUACUUGGUCUCUCCCUUUUUCUUUCAUUUACUUUUCUUUUUGCAACCUGUUUGAAUGUGUUUGAGAACCCCCAAAUUGGGGUAUUCCUACUCUAGACUUAUUUACCCUUUUGUUUAACAGCUAUAAACCCACAAGGCAGAAUCUUUAGUUUACUAUCUUUGCACUGUUCAUAGUCAAUGAUUUUUGGUUCAGAAUAGUUGCCACUCUAUUUUUCUAUCAGCAGAUGCCAAAAUUAGACAACCACGAGAACAUCAUGCAGGAAAGACUCAGACCUUAAUCUAAUAUUUUGGAAAAAGGCAGUCAUCAUUAGCAGUUUUUUUUUUCGUUUUGAAAAAAAUUAUGAGAUUUUUGUGCUUUAUUUAUUUUCCUAGAAUGAGUUUAUUAUUGACAACAUCCCCAGCAUUUAACCUUGAUGACAAGAUAGGGAAAAGAUAUAGGAUACUUGGUCUUCUUUAGUUUUUCUGCUAUUUUCUGUUGGUCUUCAUGGGCAAGGCAGAUGGUUACAACUACCAGAUAGAGGCAAUUGGCUACCUGGAUCCUUAUAAUAGAUAAUGAAGGGGAAAUAGGCACCCCUUUUGGUGAUAACAGAUAAUAUUUUGAAGAGAAAGACAAAUGAUUAGAAUCACCAGUGACUGAUCUCUUCUUUUUAUUACCCAAUUAGUCCCAUUUUAUAUUUUAAAAGUGUCACUGUAUACUUCAAGAAUCAGCAUUUCAGAGAUCAUAUGUGUUAGAAUGGGAAAAGCUCAGGCCAGUGGUGCUAAAUAGUCUCUCUGACCAAACAGGGACUUUUGAGUUCUACUGUGCCUCAGUUCUCUUUCCCAGCCCAAGCCUUUUAAAUGUCUCUUUCAUUCUGCCCCCAGUUUAUAUGUUUCUGAAUAAUCUUGGAGCAACGCCUUUAAUCGUGGAAGAAGAGUAGCCAAUGGGACUUUUAAGAAAAUACAUAACUAAAAGGAAAACAACUGGCCAUAAAUGGCAAGGUUAUGGCAUAGGGUUGAAGUGUAGGGAAGACAAAUGUCACGGUGCACCAGGGUGAUCUUUGUCUACUGGUGCCCACCUUGGGUUCAGGGCAAGAUCCCUGUCCAUAUGACUGCCCAAGGGUAUCCCCAGGUAAUGAAUUGGUAUAGCCAAGGCCAAGGUUAUUAUCACAUAGAAUAGAGAGCUUCUCCCUUAGGUCUUGGUGCCGGCUUCUAUGACAGAUCCUUUAAGAAUACUUGGCCUUGGCUGGCAGCACAGGCAGCUUAAUUGUUACUGCAAAAGUAAAGUUAAAGUGGCUUCCUAGAGCAGAAAUUCCUCUUUAGAGAAGGUGGGAACUCUUGAGAAGUUAAAGAAAAAAUUGCCUGUGGCCUGUCAUUUGGCAAUCUGCUGAGAGACUGUUUUAUCUGAAUUCCUAAUUGAAGCCCAAAUUAAACCCAGGGAAAUGUUCACAUGAAAAGCCCCACAAGAAUGAGUUUUCAGAUUCUAUCAGCUCAAAAGAAUCUCAUGUGAAAGUCCUUAACUCAAACAUCUGACACGCUUUUCAUCAGCUGGUCCCUGAGAGUCCUGAGAAAGAGGUUACGCUGCCUUCAAUGUACAGAGAACAACUUGUCUGAGUUAUUACAUACUUUCCUUCCUAGUGAUUCUUGUAACAGAAAUCAGAAUCUACCCAAUUGGAUGAGUGUGUAGGUAUGGGGGAUGGUGGAAAAUAUGAUUACUAAAGGUCCUAUUCUGAAAGGCAAGAAGUGGGAACACUGGGAGAGAAGCCACUUUGUUGCUAAGAUGAUAUGUUUGAUUGGGGGAAAGUUGAAUUUGAGCCAUCACAGGGAGUAGAAAAUGGGACCUGGAGUCCAAGAGCAAGGUAAAGACUGAAGAUUAAAAAAAUGGGGGUGAUGAACAUCAAGUAGACAGCUGAGACAUGAAGGCAAAUUAGAUCAGUGCUAGAAAAUAUAGGAUAAAAAGAAAGGCUGAGAUAGUCUCAUGGCCACAGUCAUGCAUGGAUACUGAGAAGUCCACUGCCUGCUGUGAGCUGCUCACUGACUGGCUCUCUCAUUCUUUCCGUUCACAACGUGGGGCAUGGCAACCUCCUCUGAGCAUGUGGAUUCACCAGUAGAAACCUUCCGUAAAAUGACUCAUUAAACUGCUUGUUGUCUUCCCAUCCAUCACAGGCCAAAACAUGUUCCCAGGCAACCCGAAGUCCUCACCCAAUAAUAACUCAGGAGAAGAUAGCCAGUAAAAGGGUGGUAUCCCAAUUUCCUCUUCCUCCAGCCAUACAAAGGGGCCUGUGAUUAUUUAUUAUGCAGAGACAAAGGAGCAGAGAGUCCCUGAUAUGACUCUGCAAAGCAUUCAUUUGCCCUAUCAUAGUACAUUAAGUGCCUUUACUUCAAAAUUCCCUGCCAGCCCCUCCACACCCCCUUGGUGGGCUCAGCCAUGGCAGCAGAGAUUGGGAGGCAGGUUUCUGGGGAAA